rnacentral:lncRNA from 1 species
UCUCUCUCUCUCUCUCUCUCUCUCUCUCUACUCAAUUCUCUCUCAGUCAAAGCUGCUUCCAUUGCAGGUAUAUGAAUCAAGGUUUAAUGGUUUUAGCCACCAAAUCAUGUUUACUUCUUUUUAACCUAUAUCCUAGGAUUCUUAUGAAUCAAGCCUUAAUGGUUGUAGCCACCAAGUCGUGUUCGAAUCCUAUAGAAUUCUUAUGAAUCAAUCCUUAAUGGUUGUAGCCACUAAGUCCUUUUCGAAUUCUUUACCUAUACUAUUACCUAUUAUUAUUUUUUUCUUUUUCUUUUUCUUUAUUGUUUUUUGUUUUUAAAUUCUACCAAAUCAAAAUUUCGAAAUGGAGAGAGAGAGGGUGACAUAUCUACACAAGGAUUUACCUUCCAGACUUGUUUGAAGAAUCCGAUCUCAUAUAUAUCAAGCCCCAAGACAAGCAGUUUAGUCAGGUUAGGUUGGAGGUCAGCUUUGGUUCCUUCAAACAUUCUCAGCAAGCGUGGACAUAGUUGACAGGUUGAUCCACUUUAGUAUCUUUAGUACUAUCUGCAAUCAGUAAGUCUAGAAUGAUGCUAAAG